rnacentral:tRNA from 1 species
AGUGCCAUAGCUCAGUUGGUUGCUUCCGAAAGCGAUAGCUUUUGGAAGCCGUAGGAGCAAAGGACUGAAAAUCCUUGUGUCCCCGGUUCGAUUCCUGGUGGUACCA